rnacentral:rRNA from 1 species
AUCAAAGCAAAGGCACGCACACGCUUGUCCCGUUCCCUCGUCUCAUAAAAACUGGUGCGGCCCGCUGCCAGCCUUCAUUCACCGUUCGAAAAGUUGAGAGAGCUUCCCCCAAAAGGACCAGGCCAGACGACCCCGCCGCGAUUAUUCCCCGCACCCACCCAAUUCCCCGAGCACCGCCGCCGCGCGAUCGCCCCACCAUGUCCGGCUACCCCUACGGUGGCGCCGGAGGAGGAGGAGGCGGCGGCUACGGGGCCCCUCCGCCCUACGGCUCCUCCCCCGCCCCCUCGGCCCCGCCCUACGGCGAUAAGCCCCCCAAGGAAGGCAAGGCCUCCUCCCCCUACUACGCCUCCCCGCCCCAGACCUACGGCGCCAGCGGCGGCUACGGGGCCCCGCCCUCCUCCCAGCCCCAGUCCUACGGUGGCGGAUACGGGGCCCCGCCCUCCUCCCAGCCCCAGUCCUACGGCGGCGGCGGCUACGGGGCCCCGCCCGCCGGCCAGCCCCAGUCCUACGGCGGCGGCGGAGGCUACGGUGCUCCGCCCGCGGGCCAGUCCUACGGCGCCCCGCCUCCCUCGUCGGCGCCCUACGGGGCCCCGCCCCCCGCGGCAGCGCCGUAUGGGGCCGCUGGCGGGUACGGGAGCCCGUUCGCGGCGCUCGUGCCGUCGGCGUUCCCGCCGGGGACGGACCCCAACGUCGUGGCGUGCUUCCAGGCCGCCGACCGCGACGGCAGCGGGACCAUCGACGACAAGGAGCUGCAGUCCGCGCUCUCCGGCUACAACCAGAGCUUCAGCCUCCGCACCGUCCACCUUCUCAUGUACCUCUUCACCAACACCAACGUCCGCAGGAUCGGGCCCAAGGAGUUUACUUCUGUUUUUUACAGUCUUCAGAACUGGAGGUCUAUAUUUGAGAGGUUUGACCGUGACCGAAGUGGUAAAAUUGAUGCAUCGGAGCUGCGCGAUGCUCUUCUCAGUCUGGGUUAUUCAGUUUCUCCAACUGUGCUAGACUUGCUCGUGUCUAAAUUCGACAAGACUGGAGGCAUGAGCAAAGCAGUUGAAUAUGACAACUUUAUUGAGUGUUGCCUUACGGUCAAGGGUCUGACUGAGAAGUUCAAGGAGAAGGACACGUCUUACUCCGGGUCUGCAACUUUCAGUUACGAGGCAUUCAUGUUGACUGUGCUCCCUUUCAUCAUCGCUUGAUGGCUCCACAGUUCAAUACAAAGACUGAGCUUUGAGUGUGUUGUUCCAACUUAUGUUGAAAUGUUUUUCCAACGGAGGUGUAGUUUGUUUGGAUUCGAGUGAUGUUGCUGCGUUCCUGAUAAGGUGAUACCCUGGAGAUUGGAAACUGGUGUAUGAUGGUAGAGCCUGUGGACGGUCAGUGAGAUUGGGUUUUGAUCAUAUUUUAUUUCCCUUUGAUGAGGCGGCUUAGUUCAAAAUUUGUUUACAUCAAUCAAACCUAAAUUAACCCGACUGGGAAUUGUUUUAUUAUUUUUGCUAGCAUAUCACUGCUAAAAUCGUAGACAAAAAAAAGUCUUUACACUGCAUUCAAAUGCAAAUA